UGCGUAGGUGGUGAGGUAAGUCGGAUGUGAAAUCCCCAGGCUCAACUUGGGAACUGCAUCCGAUACUGGUCGGCUUGAAUCCGGGAGAGGGAUGCAGAAUUCCAGGUGUAGCGGUGAAAUGCGUAGAUAUCUGGAGGAAUACCGGUGGCGAAGGCGGCAUCCUGGACCGGCAUUGACGCUGAUGUGCGAAAGCUAGGGGAGCAAACA
rnacentral:rRNA from 1 species